AUGGCUAACUAUUCUCAAUGGCGCACCGAAAGAUCUUCUAGUAAAAAAGUGCAUGCUAUAGAAGAAAUCAAUGUUUUGAGUGGAAAGAUGGAUGAACUUAUGAAGAUGUUUGCUACUAAAAAUACUCCUCUUGAUCCUAAUGAUAUGCCUUUGUCUUCCUUGAUUGAGAAUAAUAAUGAAUCUAUGGAUGUGAAUUUUGUUGGUAGGAAUAGUUUUGGAAACAAUGCUUAUAGAGGGAAUUUUAAUGCUAGACCGUUCCCUAGUAAUUCCUCUAAUAAUUAUGGAAAUUCCUACAAUAAUUCUUAUGGUAAUUUUAAUAAGAUGCCCUCUGAUUUUUGA
rnacentral:rRNA from 1 species